rnacentral:rRNA from 1 species
AUUGAACGCUGGCGGCAGGCCUAACACAUGCAAGUCGAACGGUAACAGGAAGCAGCUUGCUGCUUUGCUGACGAGUGGCGGACGGGUGAGUAAUGUCUGGGAAACUGCCCGAUGGAGGGGGAUAACUACUGGAAACGGUAGCUAAUACCGCAUAACGUCGCAAGACAAAGAGGGGGACCUUAGGGCCUCUUUCCAUCGGAUGUGGCCAGAUGGGAUUAGCUAGUAGGUGGGGUAACGGCUCACCUAGGCGACGAUCCCUAGCUGGUCUGAGAGGAUGACCAGCCACACUGGAACUGAGACACGGUCCAGACUCCUACGGGAGGCAGCAGUGGGGAAUAUUGCACAAUGGGCGCAAGCCUGAUGCAGCCAUGCCGCGUGUAUGAAGAAGGCCUUCGGGUUGUAAAGUACUUUCAGCGGGGAGGAAGGGAGUAAAGUUAAUACCUUUGCUCAUUGACGUUACCCGCAGAAGAAGCACCGGCUAACUCCGUG